UCUUAGGCUGCCAAGCCGAACCGCCGCCCGGACUACCGGUGGUCGUGGUGGUCGCCAGGCUCUUUCCGUUUCCCUUAAGCUGCUCAGCCGGUGGCGACCCGCAACAUAUUUCAAAACGACCUCAGCCUCCGGCUUCGCUGGACCGCUUGUGCCUCGAGCCACCGAUCUCUUUCGCAAUUCGCUCUGUAAUAAGAAAGAAGAAAAGAAAAAAAAAAAAAAAAAGAAAAGGAGAAACGGAAGUUUAGAUUACUGAUUCUUGUUACAAGUUUGGUUUAAUGUAAUAUACGUUAAUUAAUAACGUAGGGACGAAGCGAAAAGAGAUUCAGAGUCUGCCUUGAUCUCGGUUGCGGAACUUGGCAAUGGUCGAAAAUCACGGCUAACAAACGUGAAAAAUCCAACCAAUGGAGAGAAAACAAGGAAACACACAUACGGGGGAUGAACAACAGUGUGUUUAAUUGGUGUGCCAGCUCAGCGGGUGUUCCAUGACGACGUAGAGGAGGAGGACGUCCAAGAUUAAGUCAGAGCGAACGUGGGUGGUCGAAGAAGAACCAGCAGCAGCCAAAACCACGCACCUGGAUAGCCCCGGCAGAAAUAUCCGUCCGUCGUUUCGCGGGGUAUAUAAUCAGCGGCAAAGCCGGCCAGCCGCCGGCCAAUUCCAGUCAAGCACUGAGAAGUUAUAUAUUUGUUAACUUAAGGUCACCGGGAAGUUUGAGAAAAAUAGGUAUCGUUACAGUAACGGUUUAAAUGUCGUUGGAGUUUCUAGAAAAUUUGAUAGGAAUGACCGGUUAUAGUUCAAUUACAUAGUUGUAAAUACAACAUUUUCUCAUUAUCGUAGUAUUGAAACUGUUUGUUUAGUUUUUUUUUUUCAGUCAAAUCAGGCCCUACUAUUAAUCGUGCUUUUAUUUUAUGGUAAAAAAUGAAUAUAUUCGAUGACGGUGUAAUAGGGUGUUACAACAAAAAAAAAAAAAAACAACGCACUUUUUUCAAACACGCGUCAAAAUUUCGGUAGAGCAUCUCAAAUAAAA